AUGUCCAAAUUUGUUGUAAAAAU
rnacentral:snRNA from 1 species